UACGAAGGGGGCUAGCGUUGCUCGGAAUCACUGGGCGUAAAGGGUGCGUAGGCGGGUCUUUAAGUCAGGGGUGAAAUCCUGGAGCUCAACUCCAGAACUGCCUUUGAUACUGAAGAUCUUGAGUCCGGGAGAGGUGAGUGGAAUUGCGAGUGUAGAGGUGAAAUUCGUAGAUAUUCGCAAGAACACCAGUGGCGAAGGCGGCUCACUGGCCCGGAACUGACGCUGAGACGCGAAAGCGUGGGGAGCAAACAGG
rnacentral:rRNA from 1 species